CUGUCCUAUUUGUACAUAUAAUUAUCUUUAUUUACUGAUCAUGAACUGAUUAUCUUUAGUCUAUAACAAAAUUAUGAUGUUGCUGUAAAUAUAACAUAGUCUAGGGGUCUUAAACAAAAGCCUUAUAGGUUUCUAGUAGGCCCCUAGCCCUACUGUAAUAAUGAAUUAGUAAACUUUUGUAAAUAUUAUUAAAACAUUUUUGGGGGGCGAAAUUAAAUUAAAUUAA